GCACAAGCGGUGGAGCAUGUGGUUAAUUCGAUGCAACGCGAAGAACCUUACCUACUCUUGACAUCUACAGAAGCCGGAAGAGAUUCUGGUGUGCCUUCGGGAACUGUAAGACAGGUGCUGCAUGGCUGUCGUCAGCUCGUGUUGUGAAAUGUUGGGUUAAGUCCCGUAACGAGCGCAACCCUUGUCCUUAUUUGCCAGCACGUAAAGGUGGGAACUCUAAGGAGACUGCCGGUGACAAACCGGAGGAAGGUGGGGACGACGUCAAGUCAUCAUGGCCCUUACGAGUAGGGCUACACACGUGCUACAAUGGCCGGUACAAAGGGCUGCGAGCUCGCGAGAGUCAGCGAAUCCCUUAAAGCCGGUCUCAGUCCGGAUCGGAGUCUGCAACUCGACUCCGUGAAGUCGGAAUCGCUAGUAAUCGUGAAUCAGAAUGUCACGGUGAAUACGUUCCCGGGCCUUGUACACAC
rnacentral:rRNA from 1 species